rfam:Pseudogymnoascus pannorum VKM F-103 contig_1769, whole genome shotgun sequence.
UCCUCGUUCAAAGGAUCGCAGUCGAAGCACACAAACGGAGCAGACACAUUUAUUGUUGUCUCUCAGCCUGUCAUGGGCUAGUCAAUGCUUUGGGAGAAAGUCCCCGGACGACCUUUUUCUACAACUCGUUGUGGAAAAAAGGAACGCGGAAACGCGCCGCCAUAGAAGCAUACUGCGGCUUCUUUUUUUCUCCUCUUACCUUUCUUCAGAUCGACCUUGUUCGCUGCUUGUACUCGCUUUCGGCGCUUUUGAUUGCUGCUUCGGGGGGAGGGGGAGACCUUAUGGAUGAAGAUAUGAGUCCGAGCUCUCCUAACCUCAGUUGUGGUAGAGCAUUUGCAAUGAUCGCGGGGAGGCGGGGAAGUGUCUUCGGUCUGGGUUGGGGUUUAUGGGAGGGGGGAGGCUUUCGUCGAGAGUGAUAGUUAUGCGAUUGCUCUUCUUGCCAGCUUCACAGUUGGUCGAGGGGGGUAACUCGAUGGGGCUUAUUCUUGAGACGAGG